rnacentral:lncRNA from 1 species
UACCAGUUGUGAGAAUUAAAUAACCAUUAAUCAGUUAUCAAAUUCAUGUCCGCCAUUUUGAUGAUUAAACCGGAAGUGGAUAAAAUUAAGCUUGCUUCCAUAUCUAAUUUUGUUUAGAAUGAUCCAAACUAGGUUUCUACCAAAUUUUAUGCUUUUAACACAAAGUGCACAAUUAUUCACCUAUCUGCUGGACUAUAAAGGUUGUUGUGAAAGUAUACACAUUUUGAACAUAUCUGUAUGCGAAGGUAAACGAAAAAGUCCUUUUUAAUCCUUCAGUUAACAGAAAGGAAAGAUCCGAGAUUGAUUUGAUGGAUAGUUUUGUCCUAUCACCACAACAAAGAUCGAGCGCUGUAAAAAUAC